UUCCAGCUGACGAGUCUCAAAUAAGAUGAAACAUGUGUCAUGGAU
rfam:Schistosoma haematobium scaffold784_36, whole genome shotgun sequence.